GGGGUUGAGGCUCAGCAGUAGAGCGUGCGUCUCACAUGUGUAAGGUCCUGGGUUCGAUCCUCAGCACCA
rnacentral:tRNA from 1 species